UCAGAUGUGGUGCAUGGUGCACACCCGCUCAUGGUGCUGUAAAAGGACACGAACCGAAAGUCAGCGGGAGAACUGGGUUCGACUCCCAGCGUCCGAA